GCCAGGUGUGGUGGCUCACACCUGUAAUCCCAGCACUUUGGGAGGCUGAGGUGGGUGGAUUGCUUGAGGCCAGGAGUUCAAGACCAGCCUGGCCAACAUGGCAAAACCCCAUCUCUA
rnacentral:SRP_RNA from 1 species